rnacentral:rRNA from 1 species
AUUGAACGCUGGCGGAAUGCUUUACACAUGCAAGUCGAACGGCAGCACGGGGGCAACCCUGGUGGCGAGUGGCGAACGGGUGAGUAAUACAGCGGAACGUGCCAGGCCGCGGGGGAUAACGUAGCGAAAGAUACGCUAAUACCGCAUACGAUCUGAGGACGAAAGCGGGGGACCAUCGGGUCUCGCGCGAUCGGACCGGUCGAUGUCAGAUUAGGUAGUUGGUGGGGUAAAGGCCUACCAAGCCGACGAUCUGUAGCUGGUCUGAGAGGACGACCAGCCACACUGGGACUGAGACACGGCCCAGACUCCUACGGGAGGCAGCAGUGGGGAAUUUUGGACAAUGGGCGCAAGCCUGAUCCAGCCAUUCCGCGUGCAGGACGAAGGCCUUCGGGUUGUAAACUGCUUUUGUAUGGAACGAAAAGGCUCUGGCUAAUACCUGGGGCUCAUGACGGUACCGUAAGAAUAAGCACCGGCUAACUACGUG